rnacentral:lncRNA from 1 species
GGAAAGGGUUAGCCUCAGGAGGAGGGUUGUGGUAUGGGGUUCAGAAGGGAGAAAGCUUAAGGGGAAGGGUGUGAAGCAUGGUCAGGGCCUGAAACUCUCUCCAUCUUCAGCUCCAGGGGCCUGGCCAUACCAAAAAAACAUAGGCAAGAAUGACAUCUAAGCAGCAGAGAAGCACAUCCAUUGAACAGACAAAGCCACAGGAAAGAGAUUUGCUAAUCACUGAGACCCUGUGGGAGCAGGUGCUAAUGGCCUUUAAAGGAAUACAAAAGGAGCUUCAGGAAGAUGCUCGGAUUCGAGGCAUGAGUACCCGUUCUAUGGCACUCGUCCCACCUGUCCCCCCCAAGACUGGCUUCAAGCCUCCAGAUCUCUCUACACACAUCCCCAAAUAAGAAUCACAGCUCAAAUUCUGGAGAGAAGUCAUCGGAAGCCCAUUCCUACCCCGCAAGGAUGCAACCCCGUGACCAGCCAGCCUUCUACCCUAGACUUUAAACUUUGUCAUCAAGGAAUGUCUCCUGUGUUUCUUCCAGGGCCCAGCUCAGUCGCCUGAUACUCAAAGGCAGUGAGACAGACACCAUCAUUGACAGAAUCUACCAGCAUCGACUGUGAACUUGGACAUCACUUGAGAGCCAGGCACAUCCUAACUGCCAAGCAAAGAAUCCAGCAGAUAAACAAUGGAGGAAAUAAAUGUGAUGUAAAACAAAGAAAGUCAAAGGACAACCUAAGAAGGAGGAGGAGGAGGAAGAGAAGGAAGAAGAAGGAAGAAGAAAAGAAGGAAGGAAGCAGCAGUGGGUAGAGGGGAGAAAGAGACUGUCAUGGGGUGACGUGAUAAAAGUACCUGAUAUGCAUAUACAAACGCCGUAAUAAAACUCAUUGUCAAGUGAC